UACCCAGGGUCCAACCGUUAAUCGGAACUACUGGGCGCAAAGCGCGCGUAGGUGGUUUGUUAAGUUGGAUGUGAAAGCCCCGGGCUCAACCUGGGAACUGCAUCCAAAACUGGCAAGCUAGAGUAUGGCAGAGGGUGGUGGAAUUUCCUGUGUAGCGGUGAAAUGCGUAGAUAUAGGAAGGAACACCAGUGGCGAAGGCGACCACCUGGGCUAAUACUGACACUGAGGUGCGAAAGCGUGGGGAGCAAACAGGAUUAGAUACCCGCGUAGUCC
rnacentral:rRNA from 1 species